AAGUUAGGCUCUGACGGCCAAUGCUGGAUGUAUCCGUUUGCCCUAUAAAUAAGCACUGAUCACCUCCAUUUUAUUGAACUCAUUUUCUAGGCAAGCAAAGACCACAAGAUUCUUCUGCACAUUUUCUCUUUACACCCUCUAGUACUGCUGCUACUGUCAGCUCCGACAGAUUUAUAGCCCAUUCAUUCAUGGGAACAAAAACCCUGCCACGGCUGGUCAUGGGACACGCAAUAGCAGUUAGUUCAAAAGAUAACAGCUGCAAUACCUCACCUCUCCAUUCAGCACUACAGAGCCAGCACUACUUCGGAGUCCACCCAACACAAGCUGGGUUGCUGAACCUUUGCAACUCAAGCACUUAGGCAACGCUGAAAAGCCGAGCUUCCUCGUGGUAAGUGGCAAUGUGGGUAUAUACAUUCUCCUUGCAAACUGAUCAGAAACAGAGCUCGGGCAUGAGUCCUGUCCCGACAAGAAGAGGCAGCUGGUCUGACUAGUCCACCACCAUCCUCAGAGCCUGGACACACACAACAAGCAUGUAUUAAAAGAAUCCAUGGAUUUUUUUUUUAAGUAGUGAAUGACCUGGGGAGGAAUAGAGGAUCGGUUCCACCCCGCUCACUCAGAGCAGGAAAAGGUUUAAUGCAAGAAGCAAUAUAGUGGUGAAGCGUUCUGCCUCAUUUUGAAGUCGGCCUUUCCCACCCACAGGCCUCAGUUUACUCAUCUUAAAAUGGGGAUGUUAACUGUACCGAUUCUACCAACAAAUCAGGGAUUUGUUGCUAGAAUUAAACAUAAAAAGUAAAUACCUUUAAAAAUUUAUCACAAUGCUAACCAAGUAGUAUGCGUUAUCAAAUAAAUUAAUUAGUUUAGUUGGAGAAAUCAGAUAUGCACACAAGAAACUUAAAGGAAGAUCACUAGAAGACAAGGUCAUUGACGAUCAAACUUUAGGGAAAUGUCUUCCAUUUUUGAAACCCUCCAACAAGACACAUACACCUGCCCCCACCUCUACCUCCACCAGCGCUCUGUGGCCUAUAUUUUGCAGAGAUGUGUUAUUGUCACUGUUAGUCUGAUGUCCCGACAAUUAAACUGCAAAGAGAAAAAGGCCAGUCAUGCAGAAAUCCAACAGCCUGGCCUCUGGGAUCCGCCCACCCUAGCAAUGGGUCCAGGUGGGAGAUGGGUCAUGGAGAUAUGGCUGGCCCAGGUCAGGCAGUUGAAAUGGAAGUUGAGAGCCUCCAGGCUCCAGAAGGCACCAGAGAGAGAAGCAAAGUCAAACUCCCCAUGAAGACACACAGUUCAGUGGGGAAAGAGUAGACUGUGAAACGCAUAGAAAAAGACACUGGGCAUUAGUUGCUAUCAGUACAUUCCUCCCUAAUCAAUCAGCUUUAUUGUGACGCCUCUAGCUCGGCUCAUAAGGCCUCAGCUCAUAAGGCCGGAAAGCCGCUUCGGCAGCAGUUUAAAAUGUUUCCAGUUUAAUAAUCCCUGCUAAUUGAAAGCAGCUCAGAAAAGCGGGGAAGAUGGGGGUUGGAAGCAAACCAGCACCGUUUAUGGCAACAGUGCUGUUCCUAGGGGAAACAAAAUAACCUUUGAUGCUGCAGGGGGAACCUGCCUCCCCGUCCCCAAACAAACUAAUUCCCACAACUGUCUUCUUUGGCACGAGAGCUGUUUCUUCUUACGUUUUAAUUGUAUAAUGUUAUAGCAGCCGAAUUGCUGUGAAAUCUGUUUUUAAUCUGUGGCCCCCUGCUGCAAAAACUGGAUUAUUUUUUCUUCAACAGAGAAUUACAUUCAUUUUUAUAAUUGUUCUUUCCUUUCAAAUCACCUAAUAUGACAAAUGCUGGACAACCUUACAGCUCAUCUGCUGAAGAGUGUCUUUAUGAGUUGAGGCUUCAAUGCUUUCAUGGAGAAAUUGCCUGAUUUAAGUAAAUCAUGUCACUUUCACCCUUGC
ensembl:lncRNA novel transcript